rnacentral:rRNA from 1 species
UGGGGAAUAUUGGACAAUGGGCGCAAGCCUGAUCCAGCCAUGCCGCGUGAGUGAUGAAGGCCCUAGGGUUGUAAAGCUCUUUCACUGGUGAAGAUAAUGACGGUAACCGGAGAAGAAGCCCCGGCUAACUUCGUGCCAGCAGCCGCGGUAAUACGAAGGGGGCUAGCGUUGUUCGGAUUUACUGGGCGUAAAGCGCACGUAGGCGGACUUUUAAGUCAGGGGUGAAAUCCCGGGGCUCAACCCCGGAACUGCCUUUGAUACUGGAAGUCUUGAGUAUGGUAGAGGUGAGUGGAAUUCCGGGUGUAGAGGUGAAAUUCGUGGAUAUUCGGAGGAACACCAGUGGCGAAGGCGGCUCACUGGACCAUUACUGACGCUGAGGUGCGAAAGCGUGGGGAGCAAACAGG